AGAUGUGAAAUCCUACAGCUUAACUGUAGAACUGCAUUUGUAACUGCCGACCUAGAGUAUGGGAGGGGGAGAUGGAAUUAGUGGUGUAGGGGUAAAAUCCGUAGAUAUCACUAGGAAUACCGAAAGCGAAGGCGAUUUCCUGGAACAUAACUGACGCUAAGGCGUGAAAGCGUGGGGAGCAAACAGGAUUAGAUACCCUGGUAGUCCACGCCCUAAACGAUGUUCACUAGUCGUCGCUCUGCUAGUCAGGGCGGUGAUGCACUUAACAGAUUAAGUGAACCGCCUGGGGAGUACGGUCGCAAGAUUAAAACUCAAAGGAAUAGACGGGGACCCGCACAAGUGGUGGAGCAUGUGGUUUAAUUCGAAGAUACGCGAAGAACCUUACCUAGCCUUGACAUUGAGAGAACCUCCCAGAGAUGGCGGGGUGCCCUUCSGGGAGCUCCAAAACAGGUGCUUCACCGCUGUCGUCAGCUCGUGUCCUGAGAUGUUGGGUUAAGUCCCGCAACGAGCGCAACCCUCCUCCUUAGUUGCUAGCAGGUUAAGCUGACCACUCUAAGGAGACUCCCUUCCUAAAGGAGGAGGAAGGUGAGGACCACCUCAAGUCAUCAUGCCCCUUAUGCCUAAGGCUACACACCUCCUACAAUGGGCCCUACAAAUGUUUCCGAUACCCCGAGGUGGACCUAUCCCUUUAAACCGUCUCUCAGUUCGGAUUGGAGUCUCACUCCCCACUCCAUGAAGCUGGAA
rnacentral:rRNA from 1 species